rnacentral:rRNA from 1 species
UGGGUGAUCUGCCCUGCACUUUGGGAUAAGCCUGGGAAACUGGGUCUAAUACCGAAUACACCUCGCUGGCCGCAUGGCCUGGUGGGGGAAAGCUUUUGCGGUGUGGGAUGGGCCCGCGGCCUAUCAGCUUGUUGGUGGGGUGAUGGCCUACCAAGGCGACGACGGGUAGCCGGCCUGAGAGGGUGACCCGGCCACACUGGGACUGAGACACGGUCCAGACUCCGUACGGGAGCA